UACGGGGGGGGCAAGCGUUGUUCGGAAUUACUGGGCGUAAAGGGCUCGUAGGCGGCCAACUAAGUCAGACGUGAAAUCCCUCAGCUUAACUGGGGAACUGCGUCUGAUACUGGAUGGCUUGAAUCCGGGAGAGGGAUGUGGAAUUCCAGGUGUAGCGGUGAAAUGCGUAGAUAUCUGGAGGAACACCGGUGGCGAAGGCGGCAUCCUGGACCGGUAUUGACGCUGAGGCGCGAAAGCCAGGGGAGCAAACGGG
rnacentral:rRNA from 1 species